rnacentral:rRNA from 1 species
GACGAACGCUGGCGGCGUGCUUAAUACAUGCAAGUCGAACGGAAAGGCGCGGCUUUUGCGGGUUGCUCGAUUGGCGAACGGGGGAGUAACACGUGAGUAACCUGCCCCUGACUGUGUGAUAACUUCAGGAAACUGGGGCUAAUACCGGAUAUGAGCUCCUGCUGCAUGGUGGUUGUUAGUAAGUUUCGGCGGUUGUGGAUCGACUCGCUGCUUAUCAGCUGGUUUGUGUGGUAGUUGCUUACGAAGGCUUUGACGGGUAGCCUGCCUGGGAGGGGUAACGGCGUCAUUGGGACUGCGAUAGGGAGCAGAAUCGUACGGGACGCAGUAGUGGAGAAUAUUGCGCAAUGGGCGGAAGCGUGAUGCAGCAACGCCGCGUGCGGGAUGCCCGCCUUUGAGUUGUAAACAAAUUUGGAAUGUGCCGAACACUGAGUGACGGUAAUGGGUCAAGAAGCCACGGCUAACUACGUG